rnacentral:snoRNA from 1 species
GGCUCUCGCGCGUGCUUCGUACCGUCGCACCGCACUGUCUGCGGGGACGCAUAGCGACACCGCUGCCUCGGC